rnacentral:lncRNA from 1 species
AACGUUAAAUAACGUGAUCUCAAACAUAUAAUCUUUCCUCUAGCAGGUUCCCAAGUUAUUUAUAAACAAAGGCUUUUAUGCUCCAGAACUCUCUUCACUGCCUUGCCUUCUUCUCCCUCAACUGCACGUCUGGCAAAUAGGAUGGUGGAUUAAAGCAAGUCACAGCAGAGGGCAAAUGUCUUGGAGAUCAGACAGAAGCGGAAGUGGUUUCGUGCCCUUCAAGUCCAGCACAGCCUUGCCUUGGGGCCUUCAGCUUAGGCACGGAAUCUUCUUUGGCCUGGAAUAGCCGUCCCAAAGACUGUCCCAUGAUUGGUUCCUUCACACCAUCUGCUUUAGCUCAGCAGGGCUUUCUCAGGAGUACAUCGCAUCUAGCCAAGCCGACCUUCCCGCUCUGUCAUGUCGGGCCGUUUCCUUGCCUUCUUGCACACAGCACUAUCUGAAAUAAUCUCCUUCCAGUCAUUCAGCACAUUCAUUGAGUGCCUGCUCGUAUGCCCUGUCUUAUGCACUUGGGAUAGAUCAAGGUACAAAUGCAACACCUUCUCUACCCUGGUGGAAUUUACAGGCCUUGUGAAUUACAUUGUUUCCUUUUUCAUCAUCCGCCUCUGG